GUCGUUCUGUUGAAAAAAAGGACUCCCUCAUCGAUCCUCUCCAUGCCGCCACCAAUCUCCUGUUCCCAGCGUGACACCCCCGACCUACUCAACGCCCUGCUCUACUCCAUGUGCCAUCUCCUCCACGCGCCGCCGGUGCCAGUUAAGCUUACUGUCGCUAACCCCACGUCUCCUUGAUCUUCUUUGGCAAUGAACCACUCUUCCUUGAAGAGAUUCCUGCAUCAAUCCUCGUGUAGAGAUGAGUUGAGCAAAUUUGAUCUGUCUCCUGCUAAGCUACACGAUCCAUGGUUGAUUUGUGUGUCUCUGUGCUCUCAAUCUUCGUGUCAUCUCUACAAAUUGAUUCGUCCAUCGCUGGAGUAUGCAGGUAGUAAGGUAAUAUCCAAUCCAGUAAGAAGCUCUUGCCCCAUCUCGAUUUUCUUGGUUGCGGCAGAGCAUUAGCCUAUCCUCAAUGGCCAUCACAUCAAAUAGAUAAGCAGGUUAAACUUGUGCGCAGCCAUUAGCUUUCCGACUAAUUUGCAUGCACUAGAUUUGCAAUUCCAUAUGAUGUCCACAAAACACAUCUUGGUCUGAGGUGUUUUUUUUUGGCUUUAGUUCCUUUCUACAAGUUGCUUUUCCUGCCGAUAUAUUGGUUUCUACAGGUUCCAGCUCAAGAAAAAAAAACUAUGAUUGUUCCGCCGGAUACAGAUGAGUGUGUCCAUGAGGAUGAGGCAAGCUAACUCGAGGAGCUCCUGCUGUAGGCCGUCGGGCUCCUGCUCAAUCCUCCAUACGUGAAGUAAUGACACCAUGCAGGUUCAAUCUAUACAACUUUAUGAACAUGUUAAUGCUAAAGCUGGGAGGUUUGGCUAUUGUUCUGCAUGCAUCUCUUUCAAUAUCUUGCUUUACUACUUUUUUUAUGAUGCAUUCAUGAGCAGUACAAUGACUUUUCUAUAGUGCGGAUUUUGCCUGAUUCACUUUGCCGGCUGUCUCAUCUGUUACCAGUGCAACACCGGAGCCCUAAAAUUCGUGGCAGUGAGAGCACAAAAUACAAGCACAAAAAACUAUCUCCGCCAAGACGAGAAGAUACAAGCCCUUACAGCCGUGUGAUAAUUAAACAACGUGGAGUAAUGCUGGCCAUAGUAUGCCAUUCCUUUUCACGGGCUAAUUGAAAGCACAAGAAGAAACAACAAUUUCUGAACAUCAAAAGUUGUUCCCAAUCUCUCUUUGUUCUUCUGCGGCCCCUAUGCCUGGUCAUUGUUCACAUUCAAAGUGAAUAGACCAUGUCUAUACAUAACAUGACCUGCUAUACUGAGUAGUACGCAUGCAUGGGGAUGGGAUCGUCAACGCCGGAGACCAUCAUCCUGUUGUGCUGUGCUAUCAAGGAGGGGCCAUGCAGAUUGAUUUUUUAGAUCAUUGCCGAGACAUAUUACGUAGAAAUUUGUGAUAGACCACUCCACAGAGUUCCCUCGCGGAGACACGAUCAUGGUCUUUGAUAAUUCUCCUCAGUCAAUCUAUCUAUUGUGGUUCCCGACUUGCAGACAAUGGAGAGGAGAAAAUUUCAACACCAAAGGAUACAGCAACACGAGCAACUGCGUCACUGGGAUUAUGAAUGUUGAGAUGUAUCGGAUGGGCUCCUGCAGUCCAGCGUAGUACCAGGUUCAUGUGAGAAAGUAGACACAGAUGUCCACAUCCUUUGAAGCCACGAUCAGGAUGUCCUUUUGGUUAGCUUCGGUUCCUACCACUUCUUAGUGAUUAGCUCCCUUUUGUCCAAAUUUAUCUAUGUUUGCUAAGGUGUUAGUUAAUUGAUAGCUUGAUGCUAACCCUUGAUGUGUUUCCAUCUAUGAUGGUUUUAAAAUCUGCACAUAAUAAAGCAUCCCCUGUAUCGGAACUUGCUGUUAUGGUCGAUGACUGUUCUAAUGGAAGCGCAGAAAGAAGCCUUUUGAUGCAAGAUAUGAAGAAUAUGAUGGCCAUGAAGGGGAGAAAAGCAGGGAAGUAAAACGUCCUCGAUUUCCAAUAGUUAAUUGUGAAAGCAUAUAUACUUUCAGCAAAGCGCAGGACCUAUGGCACGGUCCAUGAAGCGGUUGUUUGGCCAUUAUUUGUACAACAUACAGGCACAUACGCAAAUAGCAGUUAACGUGACACUGAGAAAAGAGUUCAUAUGAGAUGCUCAAUUCAGAUUUGAAUCAAUUUUAUCUGGUAGAUAUGCAAAAAGAUAAUUCUGCGAGGCAAGUACAACUGAUCGAGCAAAUGCAAACGCUUACAGACAAUAAAGGACAGUGUAUCAUGUCAGACACAGAAUAAAAGCGUGGUCUACAUUAUUUAUCAA